rnacentral:rRNA from 1 species
AUGAGUCUAUUUGCCUGGAACUGUCGAGGAUUGGGGUUGGACUCGACAGUUGGCGAGCUUCGAGACCUGAUACGGUCCUACAACCCAGCGGUGGUGUUCUUAUCAGAGACAAAAAAAUCAGCAAAAGCAAUGGAGAGGCUAAAGUGGAGAUUAGGGUUCAGUCAAGGAGUGGCGGUGAAUUGUGUGGGCAAGAGUGGAGGGCUCGCUCUGUGGUGGCGGGACUAUGUCAACAGUGAGGCCGUGGUGUCAGUAUUACAUAGAUGCUCAACUGGAGGUGGACGGGAAAACCUAUAG